rnacentral:rRNA from 1 species
AUUGAACGCUGGCGGCAGGCCUAACACAUGCCAGUCGAACGAGUGGCGGACGGGUGAGUAAUGUCUCGGAAACUGACCGAUGGAGGGGGAUAACUACUGGAAACGGUAGCUAAUACCGCAUACCAUCGGAUGUGCCGAGAUGGGAUUAGCUUGUUGGUGAGGUAACGGCUAACCUAGGCGGCGAUCCCUAGCUGGUCGGAGAGGAUGACCAGUCACCCUGGAACAUGGCCCCGGUCCAGACUCCUACGGGAGGUGGCAGUGGGGAAUAUUGCACAAUGGGCGCAAGCCUGAUGCAGCCCUGCCGCGUGUAUGAAGAAGGCCUUCGUGUUUUAAAGUCCUUUCAGCUGGGAGGCGUUACCCGCAGAAUAAGCACCGGCUAACUCCGUGCCAGCAGCCGCGGUAAUUC